rnacentral:rRNA from 1 species
CAAAUGUUCGGGAUAACGGCGGGAAACUGCCGCUAAUACCGGAUACGCUCCAAUUUCGGUUGGGGGAAAGGCGGCCUCUGCUUGCAAGCUGUCGCUUUUGGAUGAGUCCGCGUCCCAUUAGCUUGUUGGUGGGGUAACGGCCUACCAAGGCUACGAUGGGUAGCUGGUCUGAGAGGAUGAUCAGCCACACUGGAACUGAAACACGGUCCAGACUCCUACGGGAGGCAGCAGUGGGGAAUAUUGCGCAAUGGGGGAAACCCUGACGUAGCGACGCCGUGUGAGGGAAGAAGGCUUUCGGGUCGUAAACCUCUGUCAGAAAGGAAGAACCUCCCAUAUCCGAAUAGGGUGUGGGACUGACGGACUUUCAAGGAAGCGCCGGCUACUCCGUGCCAGCAGCCGCGGUAAUACGG